GAGUUUGAUCCUGACUCAGAGCGAACGCUGGCGGCGUGCUUAACACAUGCAAGUCGAACGCGCAGUUUUCUGUAGCAAUACAGGAAAUGGGCGCGUGGCGAACGGGUGCGUAACACGUGGGCAACCUUCCCUUCGGUGGGGGAUACCCUCGCGAAAGCGAGACUAAUACCGCAUAACAUUCCCUUGGUUACGACUGGGGGAUUCAAAGCAGCAAUGCGCCGGAAGAGGGGCCCGCGGCCGAUUAGCUAGUUGGUGAGGUAACGGCUCACCAAGGCAAUGAUCGGUAACCGGUCUGAGAGGACGAUCGGUCACACUGGAACUGAGACACGGUCCAGACUCCUACGGGAGGCAGCAGUGGGGAAUAUUGCGCAAUGGGCGAAAGCCUGACGCAGCGACGCCGCGUGGGGGAUGAAGCUUUUCGGAGUGUAAACCCCUUUCGACCCGGACGAAAGCCCGCAAGGGCCUGACGGUACGGGUAUAAGAAGCCCCGGCUAACUACGUGCCAGCAGCCGCGGUAAAACGUAGGGGGCCAGCGUUGCUCGGAAUUACUGGGCGUAAAGGGUCUGUAGGCGGUGCGGCAAGUCGGAAGUGAAAUCUCAGGGCUCAACCCUGAGACUGCUCCCGAAACUGCCGUGCUCGAGUGCGAGAGAGGCGGGUGGAAUUGCAGGUGUAGCGGUGAAAUGCGUAGAUAUCUGCAGGAACAUCCGAGGCGAAAGCGGCCCGCUGGAUCGCAACUGACG
rnacentral:rRNA from 1 species